UACGAAGGGGGCUAGCGUUGCUCGGAAUGACUGGGCGUAAAGGGCGCGUAGGCGGUUUGUACAGUCAGGUGUGAAAUUCCCGGGCUCAACCUGGGGGCUGCACUUGAUACGUAUGGACUGGAGUGGGGAAGAGGGUCGCGGAAUUCCCGGUGUAGAGGUGAAAUUCGUAGAUAGUCGGGAGGAACACCGGUGGCGAAGGCGGCGACCUGGGUAGAUACUGACGCUGAGGUGCGAAAGCGUGGGGAGCGAACAGG
rnacentral:rRNA from 1 species